CACAUGCAAGUCGAACGGUAACAGGAAGCAUCUUGCUUCUUUGCUGACGAGUGGCGGACGGGUGAGUAAUGUCUGGGAAACUGCCUGAUGGAGGGGGAUAACUACUGGAAACGGUAGCUAAUACCGCAUAACGUCGCAAGACCAAAGAGGGGGACCUUCGGGCCUCUUGCCAUCGGAUGUGCCCAGAUGGGAUUAGCUAGUAGGUGGGGUAAAGGCUCACCUAGGCGACGAUCCCUAGCUGGUCUGAGAGGAUGACCAGCCACACUGGAACUGAGACACGGUCCAGACUCCUACGGGAGGCAGCAGUGGGGAAUAUUGCACAAUGGGCGCAAGCCUGAUGCAGCCAUGCCGCGUGUAUGAAGAAGGCCUUCGGGUUGUAAAGUACUUUCAGCGGGGAGGAAGGGAGUAAAGUUAAUACCUUUGCUCAUUGACGUUACCCGCAGAAGAAGCACCGGCUAACUCCGUGCCAGCAGCCGCGGUAAUACGGAGGGUGCAAGCGUUAAUCGGAAUUACUGGGCGUAAAGCGCACGCAGGCGGUUUGUUAAGUCAGAUGUGAAAUCCCCGGGCUCAACCUGGGAACUGCAUCUGAUACUGGCAAGCUUGAGUCUCGUAGAGGGGGGGUAGAAUUCCAGGUGUAGCGGUGAAAUGCGUAGAGAUCUGGAGGAAUACCGGUGGCGAAGGCGGCCCCCUGGACGAAGACUGACGCUCAGGUGCGAAAGCGUGGGGAGCAAACA
rnacentral:rRNA from 1 species